AUCCAGAUGAAGCGCCCCACGUAGGACGAAACGCUCGUCCUGGAU
rfam:Schistosoma rodhaini strain Burundi genome assembly, scaffold: SROB_scaffold0012499